ensembl:lncRNA
UCAAUUCCCCCAAUUUGGGUCCAUUUCCCCCCAUUUAGGGCCAUUUUGAUCCCAUUUCCCCCCAUUUAGGGCCAUUUUGGGCCCAGUCACCCCAUUUAGGGCCAUUUUGGGUCCAUUUCCCCCCAUUUGGGGCCAUUUUGGGUCCAUUUCCCCCAUUUAGAGCCAUUUUGGGUCCAUUUCCCCCCAUUUAUGGCCAUUUUGUACCCAUUUCCCCCCAUUUAGAACCAUUUGGGGUCCAUUUCCCCCCAUUUAGGGCCAUUUUGGUCCCAUUUCCCCCCAUUUAGGGCCAUUUUGGGCCCAUUUCUCCCCAUUUUGGGGUCAAUUCCCCCCAAUUUGGGUCCAUUUUCCCCCAUUUAGAGCCAUUUGGGGUCCAUUUCCCCCCAUUUAGGGUCAUUUGGGGUCAAUUCACCCCCAUUUCCCCAUUUUGGGUCCAUUUCCCCCCAUUUAGGGCCAUUUUGGGCCCAUUUCCCCCCAUUUUGGGGUCAAUUCCCCCAAAUUUGGGUCCAUUUCCCCCCAUUUAGGGCCAUUUUGUGUCCAUUUCCCCCCAUUUAGGGCCAUUUGGGGCCCAUUUCUCCCCUUUUAGGGUCAUUUGGGGUCAAUUUCCCCCCAUUUAGGGCCAUUUUGUUCCCAUUUCCCCCCAUUUAGGGCCAUUUUGGGCCCAUUUCUCCCCAUUUUGGGGUCAAUUCCUCCCAUUUGGGGUCCAUUUCCCCCCAUUUAGGGCCAUUUUGGGCUCCAUUUCCCCCCAUUUAGGGCCAUUUUGGGGUCAAUUCACCCCGAUUUGGGUUCAUUUCCCCCCAUUUAGGACCAUUUUGGGGUCCAUUUCCCCCAAUUUGGGUUCAUUUCCCCCCAUUUAGGGCCAUUUGGGGUCCAUUUCCCCCUAUUUUGGGUCCAUUUCCCCCCAUUUAGGGACAUUUUGGGUCCAUUUCCCCCAUUUAGGGCCAUUUUGGGGUCCAUUCACCCCCAUUUCCCCCAUUUUGGGUCCAUUUCCCCCCAUUUAGGGCCAUUUGGGGUCCAUUUCCCCCCAUUUAGGGCCAUUUUGGGGUCCAUUCCCCCCAUUUUGGGUCCAUGUGGGGUCCAUUUCCCCCCAUUUAUGGCCAUUUUGGGGUCAAUUCCCCCCCAUUUAGGGCCAUUUGGGGUCCAUUCACCCCAUUUAGGGCCAUUUUGGGUCCAAUCACCCAAAUUAGGGACCAUUUGGGGUCCAUUUCCCCCCAUUUAGGGCCAUUUUGGGGUCAAUUCCCCCCCCAUUUGGGUCCAUUUCCCCCCAUUUAGGGCCAUUUUGGGGUCAAUUCCCCCAAUUUGGGUUCAUUUCCCCCCAUUUAGGGCCAUUUGGGGUCCAUUUCCCCCCAUUUUGGGGUCAAUUUCCCCCCAUUUAGGGACAUUUUGGGCCCAUUUCCCCCCAUUUUGGGGUCAAUUCCCCUAAUUUGGGUCCAUUUCCUCCCAUUUAGGGUCCAUUUUGGUCCCAUUUCACCCCCAUACUCCCCUUUUGGGUCCAUUUCCCCCCAUUUAGGGCCAUUUUGGGCUCCAUUCACCUCAAUUUGGGCCAUUUUGGGUCCUUUUCCCCCCAUUUUGGGCCAUUUUGGGGUCACUGUACCCCAUUUAGGGCCAUUUGGGGCCCAUUUCCCCCCAUUUUGGGGUCCAUUUUCCCCCAUUUAGGGCCAUUUUGGGCCCAUUUCCCCCAUUUAGGACCAUUUUGGGGUCAAUUCCCCCCAAUUUGGGUCCAUUUCCCCCCAUUUAGGGCCAUUUGGGGUCCAUUUCCCCCCAUUUUGGGUCCAUUUCCCCCCAUUUAGGGCCAUUUUGGGUCCAUUUCCCCCAUUUAGGGCCAUUUUGGGGUCCAUUCACCCCCAUUUCCCCCAUUUUGGGUACAUUUCCCCCAUUUAGGGCCAUUUUGUGCCCAUUUCCCCCCAUUUAGGGCCAUUUUGUGAUCAAUUCACCCCAAUUUGGGUCCAUGUGGGGUCCAUUUCCCCCCAUUUAGGACCAUUUUGGGUCCAUUUCCCCCCAUUUAGGGCCAUUUUGGUCCCAUUUCCCCCCAUUUAGGGCCAUUUGGGGCCCAUUUCCCCCCAUUUAGGGCCAUUUUGGGGCCAUUUCCCCCCAUUUAGGGCCAUUUUGGGUCCAUUUCCCCCAUUUAGGGCCAUUUUGGGGUCCAUUCACCCCCAUUUCCCCCAUUUUGGGUACAUUUCCCCCAUUUAGGGCCAUUUUGGGCUCCAUUCACCCCAAUUUGGGGCCAUUUGGGGUCAAUUCCCCCCAAUUUGGGUCCAUUUCCCCCCAUUUAGGGCCAUUUUGGGGUCAAUUCCUCCCAUUUUGGGUCCAUUUUCCCCCAUUUAGGGCCAUUUUGGGCCCAUUUCCCCCCAUUUUGGGGUCAAUUCCUCCCAUUUGGGCCCAUUUCCCCCCAUUUAGGGCCAUUUUGGGCCCAUUCACCCCAUUUAGGGCCAUUUUGGGUCCAUUUCCCCCCAUUUAGGGCCAUUUUGGGGUCAAUUCACCCCAAUUUGGGGCCAUUUCCCCCCAUUUAGGGCCAUUUUGGGGUCCAUUCACCCCCAUUUAGGGCCAUUUUGGGUCACUUUACCCCAAUUUGAGGCCACUUUGGGUCCCUUUGCCCCCAUUUUGGGUCCAUUUCCCCCCAUUUAGGGCCAUUUGGGGUCCAUUUCCCCCCAUUUAGGGCCAUUUUGGGCCCAUUUCCCCCCAUUUAGGGCCAUUUUGUUCCCAUUUCCCCCCAUUUAGGGCCAUUUUGGGCCCAUUUCUCCCCAUUUUGGGGUCAAUUCCUCCCAUUUGGGUCCAUUUCCCCCCGUUUAGGGCCAUUUUGGUCCCAUUUCCCCCCAUUUAGGGCCAUUUGGGGCCCAUUUCCCCACAAUUUAGGUCCAUUUUCCCCCAUUUAGGGUCUAUUUGGGGUCCAUUUCCCCCCAUUUAGGGCCAUUUUGGGGUCCAUUCACCCCCAUUUCCCCCAUUUUGGGUCCAUUUCCCCCCAUUUAGGGCCAUUUUGGGCCCAUUUCCCCCCAUUUAGGGCCAUUUUGGGGUCAAUUCCCCCCAAUUUGGGUUCAUUUCCCCCCAUUUAGGGCCAUUUUGGGCCCAUUUCUCCCCAUUUUGGGGUCAAUUCCUCCCAUUUGGGGUCCAUUCACCCCAUUUAGGACCAUUUUGGGGUCCAUUUCCCCCAAUUUGGGUCCAUUUCCCCCCAUUUAGGGCCAUUUGGGGUCCAUUUCCCCCCAUUUAGGGCCAUUUUGGGCCCAUUCACCCCAUUUUGGGACCAUUUGGGGUCCAUUUCCCCCCAUUUAGGGCCAUUUUGGGGUCAAUUCCCCCAAUUUGGGUUCAUUUCCCCCCAUUUAGGGCCAUUUUGGGCCCAUUUCUCCCCAUUUUGGGGUCAAUUCCUCCCAUUUGGGGUCCAUUCACCCCAUUUAGGACCAUUUUGGGGUCCAUUUCCCCCAAUUUGGGUCCAUUUCCCCCCAUUUAGGGCCAUUUGGGG